UGCCAGUUUCCUGAUUUGUCCCCAUGUUGGAGGGUCUGCCUGAGUCCUCUCUUCCUGGUGUGGCUCAUGAUAGACCUUCAGAUGUUUGGUGGGCACCCACAGAGGCACCUGAUUGUCACUUGGAGAGACAGAAGCAAAUCCUCUUCCCCAUGUAAUUAUUUUUCCUUUUUCCCAACUCUUUGUAUGUGCAUCCCUCCACUGUAUAUCUUGUCUGGCAUUUUUAUUUUCCUUUUGUCCUGUUAAGUGUUGUUCAGCUGCUGUCAUGGGCUGAUCCUUUUGUAAAUUUAAAAAAUUUAAUGUUAAUAAAGCGAGGUGUAAUUGUAUAUGUAGGGUUUUAUAUACCUGGUCUCCCUCUUUCUGUUUUUGUAACUGAGUUUUUAAGUUAACAAUGAGCUCUUUCAACUAUCUCUUGUCCCUGUGAGUUAUAUGGAAUACUUGUAGUAUGAGUAAUAUUUCACUGCUGUUAAAAUGCAGCCAUGGCUGCUGGGCGCGGUGGCUCACGCCUGUAAUCCCAGCACUUUGG
rnacentral:lncRNA from 10 species